rnacentral:rRNA from 1 species
UACCAGACUCCUACGGGAGGCAGCAGUGAGGAAUAUUGGUCAAUGGGCGCGAGCCUGAACCAGCCAAGUCGCGUGAGGGAGGACGGCCCUACGGGUUGUAAACCUCUUUUGCCGGGGAGCAACGGGCGUCACGUGUGGCGCCACUGAGAGUACCCGGAGAAAAAGCAUCGGCUAACUCCGUGCCAGCAGCCGCGGUAAUACGUAGGGAGCAAGCGUUAUCCGGAUUUAUUGGGUGUAAAGGGUGCGUAGACGGGAAGGCAAGUUGGUUGUGAAAUCCCUCGGCUUAACUGAGGAACUGCAACCAAAACUAUCUUUCUUGAGUGCUGGAGAGGAAAGUGGAAUUCCUAGUGUAGCGGUGAAAUGCGUAGAUAUUAGGAGGAACACCAGUGGCGAAGGCGACUUUCUGGACAGUAACUGACGUUGAGGCACGAAAGUGUGGGGAGCAAACAGGAUUAGAUACCCCGGUA